UCAGCACCGGUGGCAGAAUGGUCAGUCCUCAUCACAGUAGACUUCAUCCAACUACUUUGGAGGCUUUGAUGUGUGCUCAAAGAUGGUUGUUGAGUGAAGAGAAUGGAGCUCAUUCGAACAUAGACCCAUCCAAUGUCAAUAUAUUUUGUGAUUGUGAUGAUGAUGAUUCUCUAAAUUAUGAAGCUUUGGACUAAGAUUAGGUUGGUGACAAUUGGUGGUUUUGAAGAGAUGACAAAGAAUGGUUUCAGAUUCUGGCUAGUGUUUUGAGUAGUUUUAUUCCUCUUAAUUAAGGCUGCUGUUGGAAAACUUAUGUUUGUUUGUUGGAAAUUUGGAUUUUUUUUUUCUUUGUUUGGUGGAAGGUUGUUGCUUUAAUUUGAUUACUUUAUGUUGGAACUUGUAAGAAUGUUAUUUAAAUAAUGAUGUUGGAUGAUGUUGCAUGAAUGUUCAGAUUUAUAAGGUUCUGUUACAGAAGUUCAGAUUUUAGAUUUAUGUGGUUAUGCUAAAAAUGUUAUUUUUGGUUAAUGAAUGAUGAUGUUGGAUGAUGUUGAGGUUCUGUUAUAGAACUUGUGUAGAAUUAUGUGU